AUUGCUCCUAUUGCUGCUGGAUUUUUCAUUAGUUAGGAUUCAGAGAGGGGUUGGAGAAAUGUCUUCCUAGUUACAAUUGCUGUUAAUGUCUCAGGCCUGAUCUUCUUCCUCAUCUUCGGCCAAGCAGAAGCACAGCACUGGGCUAAAGAGCAGAGAAUCACCCACUUUUGAGCAGAGUGAUGUGUGAAAUCUGAUGCUUCCUUCAUUGCUUUGCCUCACACACUUUCCUCAUUUGUACCUGUUUGAAUGACUAGCCCUUUCAUUGAAAUUGGCUUUGUUUCCAGUAUGAUCUCAUAGACCUUGAUUAUGUAAUACUGAAGGCUUUACCCAGCCUGGAGACUUCCCAGAGAUGGAGAAACCUGGUUGUUUCAAUGAGCUUGUGAAAGCACAAUUUUGUUAGAAUGCUUCU